rnacentral:rRNA from 1 species
GAGACCUCAGGUCAGGCGGGGCUACCCGCUGAGUUAAGCAUAUCAAUAAGCGGAGGAAAAG